rnacentral:lncRNA from 1 species
CACAAAAUGCAUAAAUAAUAUUAAAUGAGCUGCCGAGAUACAAAGGGACUUUUGUGGUCCGCUUUCCUUGCUGAUGGAGAGGAAUAGUGUCACUCCCAUUUGACUCGGUAACCCGGCAGCUUCCUGUCUUAAACGCAGAGCUGGCGCGCAGGACACUCCUCCUGCAGACACUUAUUACACAAGUUCAUCUGCACCUCGUGCAAAGCAGCCCUGAAAGCUCAGGCUUGAAGACAAAAUGUGGAGCCCAGGCUCCUUCGAUUGAAAACCUCUCUACGAGGACACUCUCCGCAGUGGGCGGCCAGAAAGGAUUUCGGAUCAAGAUCCGCAGAGUGCUAUCUCCACUUCCCUAUUGCUGAAGGACCACUUUGGAUUCCUGAACUCCCAAGGGACUUUCCAGCUUUUGGACUUUCGUUUUUCCAGUAUCACUUAUGAGGACCCAAGUUCUACCAGGGCUUCUCCUACAUUGAAAAUGAUUAUAUCUAAGAUUCAAACAGAAAUUUUGUGUCUUGGCAAAUUUGAUAUCUGGAGGGUGAAUAUUAUUUAGAAAACAACCACCUUCUACUUUCUGCUUCUAUGAAUUUGAUGAUUCUAGGAGCCUCAUGCGAGUGGCAUCUUGUAUUAUAGUAUUUGUCUUUUUGUGUCUGGCUUGUUUCACUCAGCAUAAUAUGCUCAAGGUUCAGCUGCGCUGUGGCCUGUGUCGGGCUUUCCUUCCUUUCUAAGGCUACUAUUCCACUGUGUGUAUGUAGGCAACACUUGCACACCACAUUUUCCGUACCCAUCCAUCCCUCUGUGAACACUUGGGAGGGAUUGGGGACUGCAUGGCCCCCAGCCAUAGGUGUGCUGAGCACGUAAGAUGUACCCAGUGUGGCUGAAGAGUGGAAUUUUUAAUUUUAAUUAACAUAAAUGUAGAUUUACAAAUAGAUUUUCAAUUCAGCUCCUGGGAAACCCCCAAAGAUGUCUGAAAUAACUUGGGCGUGUGACGCUACCUUUUUACCUGCAAGCUUAAUGAACCCUAAAUGCAGGUCAAGUAUUUGCCAUGGAAAUGCAAUGCCCAAGCUGAGAUAUGCUAGAGGUGUAAAAUGCAUGCUGGAAUUGGAAGACCUAGUACCAAAAAAAAAAAUUGGAUGUAAAAUGUCUUGUUAAUUUGUAUAUUGAUUACUUUUGAAAUAAUAAUAUUUUGGAUAUAUUAGGUCAACUAAAAUAUUACUUAAAUUAACUGCACCUGUCUCUGGUGUUCAUGUGGCUGCUAAAAAGAUUAAAAUUGC